GCGGUGCCCCCGCCCGGAGAGAGCCGCAGAGCCGUGGAAUGGUGGCGUGAGCGCGGAUGGAAGAGUCAUUUUACAUCACCGAAUCCAGCCGUCAACCGAGCAGUGUCCCUGUAACACCGAAACCGCAUCACCCACAGACUGAUUCUGACGCCUCUUUAACACCUUCAGGGAUCGUGACCCCCAGCUCCCUGGGCGACCUAUUCCAGUGUCUGAGCAGCCGAACUGUUCAAAUAUUUUUCAAGUGUCUAGGUAUAAUUUUUCAUUAGGGGCGCAAAGAAUAUGUAGGUAUCAAUUUCAUUGUGAAUAUGGAGGAAUUAGUAGUUAAAUACUCAGAUCUCAUCUUUAAGUCCUUGGUUUGUAAUGUUUUCCAUCAUAAUGAUAGCUCUCUCUCGCCCAAGACAAAAAUGUUUUCUCACCUCCCAGAUUUGGGUUUGUACACAGAAUUUGUAGGAGUUUUUUUUUUCCAACUUGGAAACUCAUGCACUAAGAACGUGAAAAAAAUUGUGAAACUGGUCUUCCUUGACAUGAUAGCCCGUGUUAGAAUUUAAGAGUAACUUAAAUGUAAAUGUAAAAGUGAAAUACAGCACUUUAAAUUUCAGUAUUGUCAAACUGAGAAAUUUCAAGGUCAAAACAAUUCUAAAGUUUAUUUUGAAUAUGAGGUUUGUUUACUCAAAACAGGCUGUAACAAAAAGGCAUUUUGUUGAAGAAUUUCAGUGAAAGAUAAUGCCAUAUGCAUCAGACUUCCUGUGAACUGAUGUUGGAUGCCAUUGUUAAACAGAGCUGGUAAAACAUACAUUGCAGUAACAUACCACGGGAAGACUUGUUUAUGCACCCUGCACAAAGAGAAAGGAGAAGAGAAAGCCUCAAACAAACACAGAUUAGUAGAUUUCCUGCUAGUAAAGUCCACCCAGGUAUAAAGCAUUUUGAAUGUUCCUGUAAUCCUGAGGAUUACGUUUCACUAUUUGUGUCAAUGGUUGCAUUUAAAUACAAGGUGGUUUUAAUUU